rfam:Picea glauca, whole genome shotgun sequence.
AUGUAAAUGCCUACAACAUAGAGUUAAUGCACCAAAUACCAUUAAAACUCUGCAGUUAAGCACGCUUAGUCUAGAGUAGUACUGGAAUGGGUUACCGCCUGGGAAUUCCUAGUGUUUUACAUG